rnacentral:lncRNA from 1 species
UAUUCGUUUGUUUGUUUGUUUGUUUUCCCUUCCAGGUUAAAUCGAUCUAGGAACGCGUGUACUUUGUUGAGCUUAAUACUGGCUGAGAAGUUUUCUUAAGGACAUCAUUCCUCUUUAUCCAUUGCUUGUGAUCUGUAUGAGGAGAUAUGUGAUGGGAGAAACUGCAAGAUAUAACAAAGCAACAGAAGCAUAGUGGAAAACAAAAUCUGAGGCGCCCCUUCUUCCUUACCCGUUGCAGCUCUUUAGAGGGUGAGCGCUCAUUCUGGAUGCACCUCGGUUCUUGUGCCUUAAAGCCAGAGUACAGAGAGGGAACUUGAAGAUGGAAAUUAGUGGAUCCUGUGCUUUGUCAUUCUGGAAACCUCAGAUCCAAGACAUCUUGAAUUUGACAGGUGAAAACAACUUGGUUUGCAAAGCCAAUGAUUCAGGAUUCGUUGCCAAUCAUGAUGUGGGCUUUGAGCUAAGCAAGGCAAGAGUCUUCUAG